UGGGGAAUAUUGGACAAUGGGCGCAAGCCUGAUCCAGCAACGCCGCGUGGAGGAUGAAGGUCUUCGGAUCGUAAACUCCUGUCAGACGGGACGAAGGUGCGGGGGUAAAUAAUCUCCGUGCUUGACGGUACUGUCAGAGGAAGCCCCGGCUAACUCCGUGCCAGCAGCCGCGGUAAUACGGAGGGGCGAGCGUUAUUCGGAAUUAUUGGGCGUAAAGGGCGCGUAGGGCGGGCUGUACAAGUCAAAGGUGAAAUCCCUCGGCUCAACUGAGGAACUGCCUUUGAAACUGUACGGCUUGAGGCCGGGAGGGGGUAGCGGAAUUCCCAGUGUAGCGGUGAAAUGCGUAGAUACUGGGAGGAACACCAGUGGCGAAGGCGGCUACCUGGACCGGUUCUGACGCUGAUGCGCGAAAGCGUGGGUAGCAAACAGGAUUAGAUACCCUGGUAGUCCACGCUGUAAACGAUGGGUGCUCGGUGUCGCGGGUAUCGACCCCUGCGGUGCCUUAGCUAACGCGUUAAGCACCCCGCCU
rnacentral:rRNA from 1 species